UACGGGGGGGGCAAGCGUUGUUCGGAAUUACUGGGCGUAAAGGGUGCGUAGGCGGUCCGCUAAGUUGGAUGUGAAAACUCUGGGCUUAACCCAGAGCCUGCAUUCAAAACUGACGGGCUAGAGUUCUGGAGGGGGUAGCGGAAUUCCUGGUGUAGCGGUGAAAUGCGUAGAUAUGCGGAGGAACACCGAUGGCGAAGGCAAUCCCCUGGACCUGUACUGACGCUCAUGCACGAAAGCGUGGGGAGCAAACAGG
rnacentral:rRNA from 1 species